CCUACGGGAGGCAGCAGUAAGGAAUAUUGGUCAAUGGACGGAAGUCUGAACCAGCCAUGCCGCGUGCAGGAAGACGGCCCUACGGGUUGUAAACUGCUUUUGCAGGGGAAUAAACCCCGAUACGUGUAUCGGGCUGAAUGUACUCUGAGAAUAAGGAUCGGCUAACUCCGUGCCAGCAGCCGCGGUAAUACGGAGGAUCCAAGCGUUAUCCGGAUUUAUUGGGUUUAAAGGGUGCGUAGGUGGCCUGUUAAGUCAGGGGUGAAAGACGGUAGCUUAACUAUCGCAGUGCCCUUGAUACUGAUGGGCUUGAAUAAACUAGAGGUAGGCGGAAUGUGACAAGUAGCGGUGAAAUGCAUAGAUAUGUCACAGAACACCAAUUGCGAAGGCAGCUUACUAUGGUUUUAUUGACACUGAGGCACGAAAGCGUGGGGAUCAAACAGGAUUAGAUACCCUGGUAGUCCACGCCCUAAACGAUGAAUACUCGAUGUUGGCGAUAUACGGUCAGCGUCUAGACGAAGACGUUAAGUUAGUUACCGUACCGUGGGAGGUACGGCCGCCGUAAGGGUAGGUAAACGUUAAAGGUUAAAGUUAGUUACGGCGUGAGACGNGCGACGGACGACGACGAGGGAGGAGG
rnacentral:rRNA from 1 species